rnacentral:lncRNA from 1 species
CUGUCUAAUUUUAGCUCUGAGGUGUCAGGGUCGUGCGAGGUGAGGCGGCGGGGUCGCAACGGGCUCGGGUGGGGUCCUCACGUGACUCCGUGAGGCGGCAUGCUCAGAUGGUUUCCUGCAUGUCUGUGAGGAGUGGAGGAGGACAUGUCUGUCAUCCAGAGUAACCGGGUCAAGGAUGUGUGGUUAGAUUGGAAAGGAAGACAUCUGCUUGCAUCAGCUCAACUUUGAAGACAGGGGGUGCACUGACCCCCACCCUCUCUCCCAUCUCACAUGAGGAUGACCAGAGAGGGUUGGUGUUCGAGAUUUGCCAUAAUGUGUGGGAUCAGGAACCAGAUAAAAGUUUAGUGUUGAAGAAAUGAAUGCCAGGCACCUUGUAAAAUUGGCACCGCAGCCCUGUCAUCAGAAAGUGAGCUGUUCUUUUGACACACAGAGUUGUUUGCCAUGUCACAGUGACCUGCAUUCUGUUAGUGAGGGAGCCUCAGGUUUCACAUGGGUUGUCUCUGUAUAAGCUGUAAAAUGAUAGCCUCUGGCCUUUAUGGUAUUGGGAAACUUGAAGUGUUUAAUGAUAAAAGUGGUUUCUAAUGGUU